UUUAGUGGUCCCCUUUAACAUUUCAUUGAUUGUUAUAACUCUCUCACUCAUGUAAUAACCUUAUAGAGAGAGAAAGAGAGGGGCAAAUGGUCAGUGUCAAUAGCUGUAAGGAAGGACCAAAACCCACCAUUAAAUACUCCAUCUAUGACACAGUACAAAGAAGAAAAGAGCUGAGAAAUAAGUCAGACAGAGAGAGAGAGAGAGAGAGAGAGAGAGAGGGGUUGAGUGCAUAUUUUUAUAAAUAGAGAAGAGAUAAUCACAAGGAUUCCCCUCUUUCUCUACCCACAGAUACAUGCAUGGCUCAUGCUUUCUUUCUCAAGAAAAUCCUUUGGUAUAAACAAAUUCUGUCUGCUAAACUCCUCCAAUUUCCAACACCCACUUUCUACCUUUCUUUUCUUCUUUUUCUUUUUUGCUUUUGUUUUUGUUUUUGGUAUACCCAACCAAUAUCCAUCAAUACCCAUUAACUAACUUGUUUGAUAUGUUGGUUUGAGAGAUUGAAGCUGCCAGCAUGAUCUGGUAAUGAACCCUUUAUGCAUAUUCUUUCUCACUACUAUACUAUUUGUAUAUAUAGAUAGAAUCAGGCACUAUCCAUAGAUUUGUAUUGCCAGUUUUGGAUACAUUUUAUGUGAUAUAUAUGGAUUUGGUACUUAGAUAUAGAAUAUGUGUAAUUAAUUAUAGCUGAAAAAAGGGGUGAGUAAGUACACCUAUAUAUACAUAGAUAGGAAAUUAACCUAAUUGGGCAUACACCCAGUUGAGCUUAGGUAUAGAUAUUUAUGAGUAUAAAUAGUUCCAUCAGGUCAUCUUGCAGCUUCAAUCCCUCAAUCACCAACAGUAAGAGAUUGAAUCAGUUCUUUUCUUGGAGGGGGAUUAAUGACAUAACUUCUUAAGCACAACCUUCAGCUAUGAGUAAUUCAUUUACAAAGCUUUGCGGAUAAGAAAGUGAUCAAGUUCAGCUAUGUAUAUAGUUGCCAAGGCUGAACUCAGAUCAUUUUCACAAAAUUACAUGCUAAAUGGGAUUUAGAGUUUAUGUAUUAGCUGUCACAAGUGUUCUUUAGUUUCGGAAGCAGACAACUAUAUAUACAUUAGCUGUCACAGGUGUGUAUUCUUUAGUUCUGGUCACGGACAUGUAUAUGUGUGGCUCUUUCAUCUCCUCUCUUUGUUUUGGUUACUAAUGACUUGACUAGUAAUAAGUUUAGUAUAUGUUUUCAUUUAUGUACCAAAUUGAUAGAUGAUUCAUACAUAUUUAUCAGUUUUAAAUGA